GACGAACGCUGGCGGCGUGCUUAACACAUGCAAGUCGAACGCUGAAGACCUGGCUUUUGUUGGGUUGGAUGAGUGGCGAACGGGUGAGUAACACGUGAGUAACCUGCCCUCUUCUUUGGGAUAACGCCCGGAAACGGGUGCUAAUACUGGAUAUUCACUGAUCUUCGCAUGGGGGUUGGUGGAAAGGUUUGUUCUGGUGGGGGAUGGGCUCGCGGCCUAUCAGCUUGUUGGUGGGGUGAUGGCCUACCAAGGCUUUGACGGGUAGCCGGCCUGAGAGGGUGACCGGUCACAUUGGGACUGAGAUACGGCCCAGACUCCUGCGGGAGGCAGCAGUGGGGAAUAUUGCACAAUGGGCGAAAGCCUGAUGCAGCGACGCCGCGUGAGGGAUGGAGGCCUUCGGGUUGUAAACCUCUUUCGCUCAUGGUCAAGCCGCAACUGUGGGUUGUGGUGAGGGUAGUGGGUAAAGAAGCGCCGGCUAACUACGUG
rnacentral:rRNA from 1 species